CUUGUCUAACAUAAGAGGUCCAGCCUGCCCAGUGACAUUGUUCAACGGCCGCGGUAUCCUAACCGUGCGAAGGUAGCGUAAUCACUUGUUCUUUAAAUGAGGACUAGUAUGAAAGGCAUCACGAGAGUCAUACUGUCUCCUUUCUCUAAUCAGUGAAACUAAUCUCCCCGUGAAGAAGCGAGGAUAAAAAUAUAAGACGAGAAGACCCUAUGGAGCUUAAAACAAAUAACAUUUGCCUUUCUAACUUCAAAUUUCAGAAAAACUUCCUAUCUUGGCAUUAUAAUUAUUAGUUUUUGGUUGGGGUGACCACGGAACAAAAAACAACUUCCGCAAUGAAAGACACUCCUUUACUAAGUCAAGGACUACAACCCUACACAUCAACAAAUUGACAUUAAUUGACCCAACAUGUUGAUCAAUGGAC
rnacentral:rRNA from 1 species